CCCUUAGAUGUUCUGGGCUGCACGCGCGCUACACUGAUGCGCUCAACGAGUUUUAACCUUGCCUGGAAAGGUUGGGUAAUCUUUUUAAAACGCAUCGUGAUGGGGAUAGAUUAUUGCAAUUAUUAAUCUUCAACGAGGAAUUCCUAGUAAGCGCGAGUCAUCAGCUCGUGCUGAUUACGUCCCUGCCCUUUGUACACACCGCCCGUCGCUCCUACCGAUUGAGUGUUCCGGUGAAUAAUUCGGACUGCGGCAUUGACCGGUUCCCGAUCGUUGCUGCGGAAAGUUUAGUGAACCUUAUCACUUAGAGGAAGGAGAAGUCGUAACA
rnacentral:rRNA from 1 species